AUAAUUUUUAUAAGAUUAAUAUUUAUUAUAAUAAUUUUAUUUAUUUCAAUAAUUUUAAUUUUUAUUAAUUAUUUAUUAUCAAAAAAAGAAAAUCAAGAUCGUGAAAAAAUUUCUUCAUUUGAGUGUGGAUUUGAUGUUUUAAGGUCUUCACGUUUACCUUUUUCUAUUCAUUUUUUUAUAAUUGCUAUCUUAUUUUUAGUAUUUGAUGUAGAAGUUGUUUUUUUAAUUCCUUUAAUUAAUUCUUUUAUUUAUUUAAAUUUAUUUGAAUGAAUUUAUAUGAGAUUAAUUAUUUUAUUAAUUUUAUAUUGAGGUUUAGAAUUUGAAAAAUUUGAAGGAUCUUUAAAAUGAGUUCUUUAG
rnacentral:misc_RNA from 1 species